rnacentral:misc_RNA from 1 species
GGACGGUUGAUUCCUUCUCCCAUUGUGACGUCAUUAGGAAGGUGUUCAGACAAUAAUGCAUUCAGAGGUUACAUGGAUAAGAUUAAAGUCUCAAACUGCAUUCCCCUUGGACUAAGUCUUCUCCAAUAAUAAAAAAUAAGAGAUCGCAGCAUAGUGCAGCAUAUUAUCAUGCUACAUAAUAUAUAGACAAUUCUUACAUGUUAUAUAUAGAUACAUAUUGUCUGUUUUUGUCAAGAACAUGUGAAUUUAUCUUAUGGAAACAAUCACCAUUUGUGUCAUGUUUCACUGUGUUUUUUUCUCAUAAUUCAUUACAAUUCCAAUAAAAAAAACAUGUGUAUACUU